AUAUUUCGGAACUGAGUCUAGUUCCUUCGAUGUCAAUGUAUAUUCUAAGUAUCAUGUCUUACAAUACAUUGAUAUCGAAGGAACAAGACUCAGUUCCGAAAUAU